rnacentral:tRNA from 1 species
GGGGAUUUAGCUUUGAGGUAGAGCAUGUGCCUGGUAUGCAGGAGGCCUUGGGUUCAAUCCCCA